UUACGGCCAUAUCACGAUGAAACACCGGUUCCCGCACGAUCACCGAAGUUCAGCAACGUCGAGCUUGGUCAGUACUUAGAUGGGUGACCUCUUGGGAAUACCAGAUGCU